rnacentral:rRNA from 1 species
GACGAACGCUGGCGGCGUGCUUAACACAUGCAAGUCGAACGGAAAGGCCCUGCUUUUGUGGGGUGCUCGAGUGGCGAACGGGUGAGUAACACGUGAGUAACCUGCCCUUGACUUUGGGAUAACUUCAGGUAACUGGGGCUAAUACCGGAUAGGAGCUCCUGCUGCAUGGUGGGGGUUGGAAAGUUUCGGCGGUUGGGGAUGGACUCUCGGCUUAACAGCUUGUUGGUGGGGUAGUGGCUUACCAAGGCUUUGACGGGUCGCCGGCCUGAGAGGGUGACCGGCCACGUUGGGACGGGAAUACGGCCCAGACUCCUACGGGAGGCAGCAGUGGGGAAUAUUGCACAAUGGGCGGAAGCCUGAUGCAGCAACGCCGCGUGCGGGAUGACGGCCUUCGGGUUGUAAACCGCUUUCGCCUGUGACGAAGCGUGAGUGACGGUAAUGGGUAAAGAAGCACCGGCUAACUACGUG